CGCUGGCGGCGUGCUUAACACAUGCAAGUCGAACGGUGACGAGGAGCUUGCUCCUCUGAUCAGUGGCGAACGGGUGAGUAACACGUGAGCAACCUGCCCCAGACUCUGGGAUAACAGUUGGAAACAGCUGCUAAUACCGGAUACGAGACGGAGAGGCAUCUCUACCGUCUGGAAAGUUUUUCGGUCUGGGAUGGACUCGCGGCCUAUCAGCUAGUUGGUGAGGGUAAAUGGGCUCACCCAAAGGCGACGACGGGUAGCCGGCCUGAGAGGGCGACCGGCCACACUGGGACUGAGACACGGCCCAGACUCCUACGGGAGGCAGUAGUGGGGAAUAUUGCACAAUGGGCGAAAGCCUGAUGCAGCGACGCCGCGUGAGGGAUGAAGGCCUUCGGGUUGUAAACCUCUUUCAGCAGGGAAGAAGCGAAAGUGACGGUACCUGCAGAAGAAGCACCGGCUAACUACGUG
rnacentral:rRNA from 1 species